rnacentral:rRNA from 1 species
GAUGAACGCUGGCGGCGUGCCUAAUACAUGCAAGUCGAGCGAACGGACGAGAAGCUUGCUUCUCUGAUGUUAGCGGCGGACGGGUGAGUAACACGUGGAUAACCUACCUAUAAGACUGGGAUAACUUCGGGAAACCGGAGCUAAUACCGGAUAAUAUUUUGAACCGCAUGGUUCAAAAGUGAAAGACGGUCUUGCUGUCACUUAUAGAUGGAUCCGCGCUGCAUUAGCUAGUUGGUAAGGUAACGGCUUACCAAGGCAACGAUGCAUAGCCGACCUGAGAGGGGGUUCGCCCCCCUGGGACCUGGGCCCCGGCCCAGCCUCCACGGGGGGGCAGAGGUGGGAAUUCUUCGGCAUGGGGGGAAGGCUUGACGGGGCACCGCGGGGUGGGUGAUGAAGGCCUCCGGAUGGUAAACCCCUGUUAUUAGGAAGGACCAUAUGUGAAGGUACCUGUGCAGAUCUGGCGGUUCCCAAACCAGAAAGCCCCGCUUACUUCGUU